UACGUAGGGUGCGAGCGUUAAUCGGAAUUACUGGGCGUAAAGCGUGCGCAGGCGGUUUUGUAAGCCGGAUGUGAAAUCCCCGGGCUUAACCUGGGAAUGGCAUUCGGGACUGCAAGGCUGGAGUGCGGCAGAGGAGACUGGAAUUCCUGGUGUAGCAGUGAAAUGCGUAGAUAUCUGGAGGAACACCGGUGGCGAAGGCGGCAUCCUGGACCAAUACUGACGCUGAGGAGCGAAAGCCAGGGGAGCAAAGCGGG
rnacentral:rRNA from 1 species